GUCAAGUUGAUGAGUCCCAAAUAGGACGAAACACGAGUCCUGUAU
rnacentral:hammerhead_ribozyme from 1 species